CGGGUACGGGGACCGUGUCAGGCGGGCAGUUUGACUGGGGCGGUCGCCUCCUAAAGAGUAACGGAGGCGUCCCAAGGUUCCCUCAGAAUGGUUGGAAAUCAUUCGAAGAGUGCAAAGGCAGAAGGGAGCUUGACUGCGAGACCUACAAGUCGAGCAGGGACGAAAGUCGGGCUUAGUGAUCCGGUGGUACCGCAUGGAAGGGCCAUCGCUCAACGGAUAAAAGCUACCCUGGGGAUAACAGGCUUAUCUCCCCCAAGAGUCCACAUCGACGGGGAGGUUUGGCACCUCGAUGUCGGCUCAUCGCAUCCUGGGGCUGAAGUAGGUCCCAAGGGUUGGGCUGUUCGCCCAUUAAAGCGGUACGCGAGCUGGGUUCAGAACGUCGUGAGACAGUUCGGUCCCUAUCUGUCGUGGGCGUAGGAAAUUUGAGAGGAGCUGUCCUUAGUACGAGAGGACCGGGAUGGACGUACCGCUGGUGCACCAGUUGUUCCGCCAGGAGCAUGGCUGGGUAGCUACGUACGGACGGGAUAAGCGCUGAAAGCAUCUAAGCGUGAAGCCCCCCUCAAGAUGAGAUUUCCCAGUAUGUAAGACCCCUUGAAGACGACGAGGUAGAUAGGUUGGAGGUGGAAGCACGGCAACGUGUGGAGCUGACCAAUACUAAUCGGUCGAGGGCUUAUCCAAA
rnacentral:rRNA from 1 species